rnacentral:rRNA from 1 species
UACGUAGGCAGCAAGCGUUGUUCGGCGUUACUGGGCGUAAAGGGUGCGUAGGCGGCUUUUUAAGUUUGGUGUGAAAUCUCCCGGCUCAACUGGGAGGGUGCGCCGAAUACUGAGAGGCUAGAGUGUGGGAGAGGAAAGUGGAAUUCCUGGUGUAGCGGUGAAAUGCGUAGAUAUCAGGAGGAACACCGGUGGUGUAAACGGCUUUCUGGACCAUAACUGACGCUGAGGCACGAAAGCGUGGGUAGCAAACAGG